rnacentral:rRNA from 1 species
UACGGGGGGGGCAAGCGUUGUUCGGAAUUACUGGGCGUAAAGGGGACGUAGGCGGCCAACUAAGUCCGACGUGAAAUCCCAAGGCUUAACCUUGGAACUGCGUCGGAUACUGGAUGGCUUGAAUUCGGGAGAGGGAUGCAGAAUUCCAGGUGUAGCGGUGAAAUGCGUAGAUAUCUGGAGGAAUACCGGUGGCGAAGGCGGCAUCCUGGACCGACAUUGACGCUGAAAGCCGAAAGCUAGGUGAGCAAACGGG